rnacentral:rRNA from 1 species
UACGAGUACCCCAAGCGUUAUCCGGAUUUACUGGGCGUAAAGAGUUUGUAGGCGGUUUGGUAAGUCAGCGGUCAAAUCCGGGAGCUCAACUUCCGGGCUGCCGUUGAAACUCCCAAGCUUGAGGCUGGAAGAGGUAGAUGGAAUUGCCGGUGUAGGGGUAAAAUCCGUUAAUAUCGGCAAGAACACCAAAUGCGAAAGCUUUCUACUAGUACAGUCCUGACGCUGAGAAACGAAAGCGUGGGGAGCGAAUGGG